UACGUAGGUGGCAAGCGUUGUCCGGAUUUACUGGGCGUAAAGAGCGCGCAGGCGGUCGUUCAAGUCGCGUGUGAAAGCCCCCGGCUCAACUGGGGAGGGUCACGCGAUACUGAUCGACUCGAAGGCAGGAGAGGGUAGUGGAAUUCCCGGUGUAGUGGUGAAAUGCGUAGAUAUCGGGAGGAACACCAGUGGCGAAGGCGACUACCUGGCCUGUUCCUGACGCUGAGGCGCGAAAGCUAGGGGAGCAAACAGG
rnacentral:rRNA from 1 species